UACGUAGGUGACAAGCGUUGUCCGGAUUUACUGGGCGUAAAGGGCGCGUAGGCGGCCUGCUAAGUCGAACGUGAAAUCCCUGGGCUCAACCCAGGAACUGCGUCCGAUACUGGUUGGCUUGAAUCCGGGAGAGGGAUGCGGAAUUCCAGGUGUAGCGGUGAAAUGCGUAGAUAUCUGGAGGAACACCGGUGGCGAAGGCGGCAUCCUGGACCGGCAUUGACGCUGAGGCGCGAAAGCCAGGGGAGCAAACGGG
rnacentral:rRNA from 1 species